ensembl:lncRNA
GAGGAACUGAGGUACUGAGGUACUGAGGUACUGAGGUACUGAGGAACUGAGGUACUGAGGUACUGAGGUAUUGAGGUACUGAGGAACUGAGGUACUGAGGUGCUGAGGUACUGAGGUACUGAGGUGCUGAGGUAUUGAGGUACUGAGGUACUGAGGCACUGAGGUGCUGAGGUACUGAGGUGAAUCCAGAUGUUCUUGAAUGAUGAUGUCUUCUGUAGGAUGGAAAUAGGCUGUAAUGAGUAGCAUACUAGAAACUAGACAUUUGUUUUACACAUUUAACUUAACAGUAAAUGGCAGUCAGUUGAAUGUUUUUAAUUGCUCUUUUGUAUCAUUUCUUUUUUUAAGGCAACUGAAUAUUGACACAACACUAUUCAACAUGACACAAAAUCCACACACUAACCCUGGCAAACCUUGGGCUCGAUUCAAUCCGUACAGCGGAAGUUUAGACCUAUA